rnacentral:ncRNA from 2 species
AGGGAAUCCGGUGCGAAUCCGGAACUGACGCGCAGCGGUGAGGGCGACGGGCGGGGCACGAAGCCACUGGGACGCACCACCGCCCGGGAAGGCGCCCCGCCCGGACGACCCCGAGUCCGAAGACCU